AUUGCUUGCUUGAUGAAUUGCAAAUGAAUGACCCCCUUUAUAUACUAGUCUCCUAGGGGCUAGUGCGUAAAUAUUAAUUAUUACACAAGUCCUUGAUAUUUACAAGAUAAGGGUUUUUUCUAGAAUUCUCUACAAGCCUAUAAGAUUCCAAGGAUUUUCCUAGCAAAUCCAUAAGGAUCUAGGUUCUUCCUAAGGAAAUGUCCUAAUACCGACUAGCUGGGGAGAAGUUCAUCUUAGGGUUUAAAACCCAAAUGCUAAUUGCAAGGAAAAGCUCAGUAUAAGGUUUAAAACCCUGAUGCUGGCUGAAAGGAAAAAGUUCAGUUUAGGGUUUAAAACCCUAAUGCUGACUAAAAGAAAAUUUAGUUUAGGGUUUAAAACCCUAAUGCUGAUUGCAUGGAAAGCUCAGUUUAGGGUUUAAAACCCUAAUGCUGGCUGAAUGGAAAAAAGUUCAGUUUAGGGUUUAAAACCCUAAUGCUGACUAAAGGAAAAAUUCAGUUUAGGGUUUAAAACCCUAAUGCUGACUAAAGGAAAAAUUCAGUUUAGGGUUUAAAACCCUAAUGCUGAUUGCAUGGAAAAGCUCAGUUUAGGGUUUAAAACCCUAAUGCUGGCUGAAUGGAAAAAAGUUCAGUUUAGGGUUUAAAACCCUAAUGCUGGCUAUAGGAAAAAUUCAGUUUAGGGUUUAAAACCCUAAUGCUGAU
rnacentral:lncRNA from 1 species